rnacentral:rRNA from 1 species
GGAAUCUUCCACAAUGGACGAAAGUCUGAUGGAGCAACGCCGCGUGAGUGAAGAAGGGUUUCGGCUCGUAAAAACUCUGUUGUUAAAGAAGAACAUAUCUGAGAGUAACUGUUCAGGUAUUGACGGUAUUUAACCAGAAAGCCACGGCUAACUACGUGCCAG